rnacentral:rRNA from 1 species
AUACGGAGGGUGCGAGCGUUAAUCGGAAUUACUGGGCGUAAAGCGCGCGUAGGCGGCUAAGUAAGUCGGAUGUGAAAGCCCUGGGCUCAACCUGGGAAUUGCACUCGAUACUGCUUGGCUAGAGUAUGGUAGAGGGUAGUGGAAUUCCUGGUGUAGCGGUGAAAUGCGUAGAUAUCAGGAGGAACAUCAGUGGCGAAGGCGGCUACCUGGACCAAUACUGACGCUAAGGUGCGAAAGCGUGGGGAGCAAACAGGAUUAGAAACCCCUGUAGUCC